UUGUCUCUUGGAAACGUUUCCAGUCCGCAUCCAACUCUUCCCGCUUUUCAGCAGCCCAAAAGCAAGCAGCUCACGUCGCGGGCGCGUUACGUGGCUCUCGGAGGGAGGCUCCGCGCGAGGCCAGAGCGACGUUUCCGGCAACGCGACCCGCACCAGGGGUUUGUGGCCUGUGUGCAGUCUCGGGGGGUACAAAUUCACUUCGCUGAUGUUUGUCACAUCUUGCCUGCUGAAGGAACGUUAUCUGGUAGCAAGGCUUCCUGGUGGCUGGUGUUUCUUCCUCAGGCAUUGAAACUUCCUCCAAUCUCAGUGAACCGUCUGUGGUAACAACUGGCAGGCGACAGCCUCGCUCCCCUCGUGAUGCCAAUGCCAAUUCUGUGAACGCACUGCUUGCCCUACACCCACCAGUUUGCUACUGAGUGCCCUGUGCUGGCAGAGACCGUGCUGGCCGGGGCUCCGUGGGGUAUGAAAAGAGGCCAUAGCUACAUCCCUUUCCAUGCACGAUUCACCCACGCUUCGACGAGGAAACAUUAACAGCCAUUUUCAGAUUGCAGUAGCGUUACACCAGCUACCUGGCCCGUGCUGCCGUGUGGGAAACAGGGAAGGGAAUUGGAGCCACCAAGAGCACCAGGGAGCAAUAUCCCAGGCCAAAAACGUCCCCUGGUGUGUCCUGCUGCUGGCUGUAGGCCUUGCGAGUCGCUGUGCGGCUGGCAGGUGCGCUGCCAUCACCGCUCAUUGGAGGAAAUAGCAAUGGCAACGUCUUAAGAAUAAACCCUGGCAAUGUGGGGUUAUUGCAAUAUUGUAUUAUAUUGUAAAUUUGUAUUAUACUGUAAUUGCCUUUAUGAUAUUAACUUGGAAUGGCUCCACAGACUUCCAAGGAGAUUUUACUGCUGACAUUUUCAAACCUGAAAGGGAAUGCAGAUCCUGGAUUAUAAACCUCUGCUCAUCCAUCAAAGACAAUCUCAGCUAGUCUCUCAAGUGACAGCACAGAAACAACCAGAAUGUAAUAAAAGUCUCUGGAAAUAGCA